GAUGAAGAACGUAGCGAAAUGCGAUACGUAAUGUGAAUUGCAGAAUUCAGUGAAUCAUCGAGUCUUUGAACGCACAUUGCGCCCUCUGGUAUUCCGGAGGGCAUGCCUGUCCGAGCGUCAUUGCUGCCCUCAAGCACGGCUUGUGUGUUGGGCUCCGUCCCCCGAUCCCGGGGGACGGGCCCGAAAGGCAGCGGCGGCACCGCGUCCGGUCCUCGAGCGUAUGGGGCUUUGUCACCUGCUCUGUAGGCCCGGCCGGCGCUUGCCGAUCAACCAAAUUUUUAUCCAGGUUGACCUCGGAUCAGGUAGGGAUACCCGCUGAACUUAAGCAUAUCAAUAAGCGGAGGA
rnacentral:misc_RNA from 1 species